AAUCAUUUAGUUUAAAUAAAACUUUUAUUUUGAAAAUAAAUUUUAUCUUUAAGGUAUUGAUUU
rnacentral:tRNA from 1 species